rnacentral:rRNA from 1 species
CUCCGGCUCCCGCUAUUGGAUGAGCCUAUGUCGGAUUAGCUAGUUGGUGAGGUAAUGGCUCACCAAGGCAACGAUCCGUAGCUGGUCUGAGAGGAUGAUCAGCCACAUCGGGACUGAGACACGGCCCGAACUCCUACGGGAGGCAGCAGUGGGGAAUAUUGGACAAUGGGCGAAAGCCUGAUCCAGCCAUGCCGCGUGUGUGAAGAAGGCCCUCGGGUUGUAAAGCACUUUCAGCGAGGAAGAACGCCUAGUGGUUAAUACCCAUUAGGAAAGACAUCACUCGCAGAAGAAGCACCGGCUAACUCCGUGCCAGCAGCCGCGGUAAUACGGAGGGUGCAAGCGUUAAUCGGAAUUACUGGGCGUAAAGCGCGCGUAGGUGGCUUGAUAAGCCGGUUGUGAAAGCCCCGGGCUCAACCUGGGAACGGCAUCCGGAACUGUCAAGCUAGAGUGCAGGAGAGGAAGGUAGAAUUCCCGGUGUAGCGGUGAAAUGCGUAGAGAUCNGGGAGGAAUACCAGUGGCGAAGGCGGCCUUCUGGACUGACACUGACACUGAGGUGCGAAAGCGUGGGUAGCAAACAGGAUUAGAUACCCUGGUAGUCCACGCCGUAAACGAUGUCGACCAUCCGUUGGGUGCCUAGCGCACUUUGUGGCGAAGUUAACGCGAUAAGUCCACCGCCUGGGGAGUACGGCCGCAAGGUNUANANAACUCAAAUGAAUUGACGGGGGCCCGCACAAGCGGUGGAGCAUGUGGUUUAAUUCGAUGCAACGCGAAGAACCUUACCUACUCUUGACAUCCUGCGAACUUGUGAGAGAUCACUUGGUGCCUUCGGGAACUCAGAGACAGGUGCUGCAUGGCUGUCGUCAGCUCGUGUUGUGAAAUGUUGGGUUAAGUCCCGUAACGAGCGCAACCCUUGUCCUUAUUUGCCAGCGGGUAAUGCCGGGAACUCUAAGGAGACUGCCGGUGAC